rnacentral:rRNA from 1 species
AGGGAAUUUUGCACAAUGGGCGCAAGCCUGAUGCAGCAAUACCGCGUGAGUGAAGAAGGCCCUUGGGUUGUAAAGCUCUUUCGGCCAAGAAGAAGGGUCCAUCUGCGAACAGUUGGUGGAGCUGACGGUACUGGAAGAAGAAGCACCUGCUAACUACGUGCCAGCAGCAGCGGUAAUACGUAGGGUGCAAGCGUUGUUCGGAAUUACUGGGCGUAAGGCGCGCGUAGGCGGGUCUGAAAGUCGAUUGUGAAAUCCCUGGGCUUAACCUGGGAAUGGCAGUCGAAACUUCAGAUCUUGAAUGUCUGAGAGGAUGGCGGAAUUCCCGGUGUAGUAGUGAAAUACGUAGAUAUCGGGAAGAACACCUGAGGCGAAGGCGGCUAUCUGGCGGCACAUUGACGCUAAGGCGCGAAAGCGUGGGGAGCAAAC